GCCUUGGUGUCACCUUGAUUUUGGACUUCUAGCCUCCAGGGCUGUGAGACAAUCAAUUUCUGGUGUUUUAAGCCACC